UCCCUGGUGGCUCAGAGGUUAAAGCAUCUGCCUGCAGUGCAGGAGACCAGGGUUCGAUCCCUGGGUUGGGAA
rnacentral:tRNA from 1 species